rnacentral:rRNA from 1 species
UACGUAGGGUGCAAGCGUUGUCCGGAUUUACUGGGCGUAAAGAGCGCGUAGGCGGCUCGUUAAGUGUGAAGUGAAAUCUCUAGGGCUCAACCCAGAAACUGCUUUACAUACUGGCGAGCUGGAGUGAUGAAGAGGUUUGUGGAAUUCCUGGUGUAACGGUGAAAUGUGUUGAUAUCAGGAGGAACACCCAUGGCGAAGGCAGCAAACUGGUCAUCAACUGACGCUGAGGCGCGAAAGCCAGGGGAGCAAACGGG